rnacentral:lncRNA from 1 species
AUAUCUGUUGGCACAGUUUUUGCCAAUCUCUGAACUUUGCACCUGCCAUUGGACAUAUUACUACCCCUUGCCAAUCUCUUAACUUUGCUGCUUAAAGAAACGGGUUUUGGUUUCAUUAAUGGUGGUCUCUGGAACUUCUGUACAUGGAAUGGAUGUAAUGUUUCAUCUAUUUUUCUCAUGCUCCCUGUAGUGUACUGCUUGCAGUUGCAGAGACCCGAUGUGCUGCUUUGUUGGUAGCUCAUCCCUUCACAUGGAAGCAA